rnacentral:rRNA from 1 species
GAUGAACGCUGGCGGCGUGCCUUAUACAUGCAAGUCGAGUGGGUUUAGACCCACGGCAAACGGGUGAGUAACACGUAGGUACUUUCCUUGUCACAGGAAUAACCCUCCGAAAGGAGGGCUAAUACCUGAUGUGAUCGCAAGAUUAAAGGGUAUCCGCAAGGAUUACCGGACAAGAAGAGGCCUGCGGCCUAUCAGCUAGGUGGCGGGGUAAAUGCCCACCAAGGCUAUGACGGGUAGCUGGUCUUAUGAGGAUGAUCAGUCACAUGGGCACUGAGACACGGGCCCAACUCCUACGGGAGGCAGCAGUAGGGAAUUUUGCGCAAUGGGCGAAAGCCUGACGCAGCGACGCCGCGUGCGGGAUGAAGGCCUUCGGGUCGUAAACCGCUUUUAUAAGGGACGAACUUUGACGGUACCUUAUGAAUAAGAGGUUGCUAACUCUGUG